CCACUUGCUUGUUGCCUCGUUCCUUUGACAAAGACAGUGGCUCUCGAAAGGCUCGUGGGAGUUGGCUAACUGGCCAAGCCGAGGUCGUCGACGAUAUAGCAGAAAAUUCUGAUUCAUGUUGUGUAUAUAUGUGCUGAUGAUUCCUGCUGCAGCCACCAUGGUUAUCCCACCCUUUUGUGCUCUUCUUCAUUUCGCCACAAUCUUAAAUUAAUUAGUCACAAAAUAUUCUAUGUAUGGUCAUAUGCAUUGAUGUUUUCCUUGUUUUUUGAACAGACUGGAUAGAGAGCAAGGUCAUGCUUGUUUUUGCACGAGGGAACCAGAGCGCUACAAUUUCUAUAAGGGUGCAUUCUAACUGAGAUUUUACUGCCUAAAAAAUGCUCCUGCUGUUGUCCAGCAAAACAGAAAUGACAGUGGAUGCUAAGCUGCAAAUUGUGCCAACUUAUGCUUAUUAUCCAUUAUAUUCAAAUUGUGCCAACUUGAUCAAUGACAAAAAAUGUGAAUUCGAAGUAGCUGAAUUUUCUACAAAACUGUGAAAGCAUGAGAUGAAGUACUAGUAUCAAUCAAGUCUAACAGAUCCACACCGAUGUGAUGCGCCGAUUGCGAUUUCGGUUGUAUUGUUUGAUGAGAUUCCGGAUUGUGUGCCAUGGAGCGAAUAAAUGUCCAUGAAGGAACUACUAGAAAGCAAACAUCCAACGACAUGGUCAGAAUUCGAGAAGGGACUAAUUGAUGAGCGCCACGGGAUUCACUCACCUUUCUGCUCCAUCUACUGCUGCCAGUGCACGUAGAUUGUGCAAGGCAUAUAUGCUUCUCCAAAGAUCGAAAGGUGGGAAGACUGAAACUAGAGAAGGCCAUUCUUAGACAAGCAAAAAGUAUUGCUACAGACUGACUUGAAUUAUACUCAGAUUUGGUUUUGAUGUGUAUAUAUUGAAUAGGAGUGAUCUAUGUCAUUGCUGUGGCAUGAAAUGAAGUAGCUAGAAGCUACAUUAUGUGUCCAUAUUCAUAUUUGUGAAAACAAAUGAAGUAGCUAGAAGCUACAGUUAUGUUUAUGCACGGGUAUUUGUGACCAAUACAAUGCAUUUUUAUUCUAAUUUUUUUUAUUUU